rnacentral:rRNA from 1 species
GAUGAACGCUGGCUACAGGCUUAACACAUGCAAGUCGAGGGGAAACGACGGGGAAGCUUGCUUCCCCGGGCGUCGACCGGCGCACGGGUGAGUAACGCGUAUCCAACCUGCCUCUGACUGAGGGAUAACCCGUCGAAAGUCGGCCUAAUACCUCAUGGCAUCGUCUGCGGGCAUCCAACGACGAUUAAAGAUUUCAUCGGUCAGAGAUGGGGAUGCGUCUGAUUAGCUUGUUGGCGGGGUAACGGCCCACCAAGGCGACGAUCAGUAGGGGUUCUGAGAGGAAGGUCCCCCACAUUGGAACUGAGACACGGUCCAAACUCCUACGGGAGGCAGCAGUGAGGAAUAUUGGUCAAUGGGCGAGAGCCUGAACCAGCCAAGUAGCGUGCAGGAUGACGGCGCUAUGGGUUGUAAACUGCUUUUAUGCGGGGAUAAAGUGAGGGACGUGUCCUUCAUUGCAGGUACCGCAUGAAUAAGGACCGGCUAAUUCCGUG